CUCCGGGUAGUCUAGUUGGUUUAUGGCGUCUGACUGUAAUUGUCUAUUCAGUUGAAUCAGAAUGUCGCGUGUUCGAAUCACGCCCGGGAGA
rfam:Metarhizium robertsii ARSEF 23 MAA_Scf_1, whole genome shotgun sequence.